rnacentral:rRNA from 1 species
UACGUAGGUGGCAAGCGUUGUCCGGAAUUAUUGGGCGUAAAGCGCGCGCAGGCGGUCCUUUAAGUCUGAUGUGAAAGCCCACGGCUCAACCGUGGAGGGUCAUUGGAAACUGGGGGACUUGAGUGCAGGAGAGAAAAGUGGAAUUCCACGUGUAGCGGUGAAGCGUAGAGAUGUGGAGGAACACCAGUGGCGAAGGCGACUUUUUGGCCUGUAACUGACGCUUGAGGCGCCGAAAGCUAGGG